rnacentral:rRNA from 1 species
UAAGAAUGAGAUAAGAGCAUAUGGUGAAUGCCUAGACUCUAUAUAGCGAUGAAAGACGUGGUAUGACUGCGAUAAGCUUCGGCGAGGUGUCAAACAACCUUCGACCCGGAGAUUUCUGAAUAGGGAAACCUUACUAAGUGAACCUUAGUAGUUUGUUUACAUAAGAUAAACAAUCGCGUACCCAGGGAAGUGAAACAUCUCAGUACCUGGAGGAACAGAAACCAAAUAGUAUUUCGUAAGUAGCGGCGAGCGAAAACGAAGAAGCCCAAACCAGCGCACUUGUGUGCUGGGGUUGUAAGGUGGCAUACGUCAUUUGCUUGAGUUACUAACUCUACUCUGGGUUAGUGAUUCAAGUAGAAAUGAAAAAAGUUAUAAAUUGGAUUGUUAGGAGAAGUACUUGGAACAGUACACCAAAGAAGGCGAACGUCCUGUAUCCGAAAACAUUCCAACUUUUAAUGCCAUUCUUGAGUACUCUAAGACAUGAAUAGCUUUGAGGAAUCUGCCGGGACUAACCGGUAAGGCUAAAUAUAUA